rnacentral:rRNA from 1 species
CCUACGGGAGGCAGCAGUAGGGAAUUUUCGUCAAUGGGCGCAAGCCUGAACGAGCGAUGCCGCGUGAGUGAAGAAGGCCUUCGGGUCGUAAAGCUCUGUUGCGGGGGAAAAAAGGCAGCAUCAGGAAAUGGGCGCUGACUGAUGGUGCCCCGCCAGAAAGUCACGGCUAACUACGUGCCAGCAGCCGCGGUAAUACGGAGGUGGCGAGCGUUAUCCGGAAUGAUUGGGCGUAAAGCGAGUGCAGGCGGGUUAAGAAGGCUGAUG